rnacentral:rRNA from 1 species
UACGUAGGGUGCGAGCGUUAAUCGGAAUUACUGGGCGUAAAGCGUGCGCAGGCGGCGCGUUAAGACAGGUGUGAAAGCCCCGAGCUUAACUUGGGAAUUGCGCUUGUGACUGGCGAGCUGGAGUGUGGCAGUGGGAGGUGGAAUUCCACGUGUAGCAGUGAAAUGCGUAGAGAUGUGGAGGAACACCGAUGGCGAAGGCAGCCUCCUGGGCCAGCACUGACGCUCAUGCACGAAAGCGUGGGGAGCAAACAGG